rnacentral:rRNA from 1 species
UUGGAUCUUUUCGGUGAGUUGUGUGCCGGGAUCACCUCGAGCCGUGGUCUGCGGGGCUGCCGCUGGUUCACCUCACGGUGCUCUUCCGGUGGUGUGUUCUCGCUUUCCGUGGUCUUGGGGCCUCGGGCCACACACUCCAAGUCUGCCGCUUAUGCUAUAACUCUUCUUAGAGGGAUUCACGGUUCUGAAGCCGUCAGAGACUGAGAGCAAUAACAGG